ACGGAAGGCAGCAGUGGGGGAUAUUGCACAAUGGGGGAAACCCUGAUGUAGCGACGCCGCGUGAGCGAAGAAGUAUUUCGGUAUGUAAAGCUCUAUCAGCAGGGAAGAAAAUGACGGUACUUGACUAAGAAGCUCCGGCUAAAUACGUGCCAGCAGCCGCGGUAAUACGUAUGGAGCAAGCGUUAUCCGGAUUUACUGGGUGUAAAGGGAGCGUAGACGGCAAAGCAAGUCUGAAGUGAAAUCCCGGGGCUCAACCCCGGAACUGCUUUGGAAACUGUUUAGCUAGAGUGCAGGAGAGGUAAGCGGAAUUCCUAGUGUAGCGGUGAAAUGCGUAGAUAUUAGGAGGAACACCAGUGGCGAAGGCGGCUUACUGGACUGUAACUGACGUUGAGGCUCGAAAGCGUGGGGAGCAAACAGGAUUAGAUACCCUGGUA
rnacentral:rRNA from 1 species